GGGUGUGGCUCAGUGGCAGAGUGCUCACCUAACAUGUAUAAGGCCCUGGGUUCAAUCCUCAGCACCUCA
rnacentral:tRNA from 1 species